rnacentral:lncRNA from 7 species
AUGAGACUUUCUCGACCCAAAUCUCACUUUCGUCAAGAAAAGAAGGCAUUUUCCCGACCACAAAACCACUCUUCACCCCCAAAUCAGACUUUUCUCCCCAAAACACCACUGUGCUCCCUAAAAGAAGACACUCUCUCCCCCCACAUACCACUGCCACCUUUCAAACGAAAACAAAACGUUUUCUCUCCAAAAUACUACACUUCUUUCGGAAACACGACAUUUUCUCCCCCCCCUCCCAGAAAAAAAAAACAAAAACCAAAAAACGGCAACCAAAACAACAAACCAAACACUUCUACCCACCAUUGGACUGGCAGGCAUGUGUUGGGCUUGUCUGCUGGUAGAAGGAACAAGGUUAGGCAUAGUUUCUACAGAGAACAACUGCUUCGAUUUCUUUCUAGAUUUGGUCGUAAGUAUCAGAGGAGCGGCAAGAAAGGGCCCUGCCACUGCCCGUCGUUACUACGCAGCUGUACGUGACAGAGCCCGCUGUGGCUGGAAGUGUAAAGGAUGGCAGUUCAGAAUCCUCUCUUGCCAGCUUGCCGUGCUGCAGUCUUGAGCUUGUGAAGCGUGCUCCUGAGGUCUUCUUUUUCGUUUGAAAGGUGGUAUUUUGUGGGAGAUGAUGCUUAACUGCGGGGCGAAAAGUAGGAUCUGGGGGAGAAAAUCCACUUCUGGGUCGGAAAGAAUAGGACAUUUUCUCCCCAAGUACCCCUUGUCUCACCGAAACAAGACUCUUUCUCCACUAAAUACCACUGCUCUCCACAAAACAUGACUUCUCGCCUGCCAAAUACAAAGCUGUUUGCUUUCCAAAAAGACGACGUUUCCUUCGCGCGCUCCCUUUUUUCUCCACAACAUGCAAUUCUCUCUCCAAAACAGGACAGUUUCUCCCCAAACGCUACUUUUCUCCAGAACAUAGGGCCCUUCCUUCGCGCAUCAUGCCACAUUUCUCCUGAAAAUAUACAGCUCUUCCUUGCAAAAUACCACUUUUCUCCCAAAGACAUGACCAUUUUUCUUCCACACCAUACCACUCUUCUCCAAAACUACGAUCUCUCCUCUCAAAAACGCCACUUUUCUCCCAAAAAUACGACGUUUCUUCCCCUCAGGACCUCUUUUCUCCUCCAUAGAUGAGACUUUCUCGACCCAAAUCUCACUUUCGUCAAGAAAAGAAGGCAUUUUCCCGACCACAAAACACCUCUUCACCCCCAAAUCAGACUUUUCUCCCCAAAACACCACUGUGCUCCCUAAAAGAAGACACUCUCUCCCCCCACAUACCACUGCGCUCCCCAAACUAAGACGCCUACAGCCCCAAAUACCACUUCUCUACACCACACAUCACCUUUGCUCCACCAAAAUACCACCCUUCUCACGACAAUAAGACAGUUUCCCCACAAAUACCCUCUUCUUCUCCAAAUACGACACUGUCCCCACCACAAUACCUCUUUUCUCCCUCAAAAGAUAACACUUUCUCCGCAAAGGAUGACCUCUUCUCCCGCAAAAUACCUACUUUCUCCCCCCACAAGUGGAUUUUCUCCCCCACAUCCUACUUUUCGCCCCACAGUUAAGCAUCAUCUCCCACAAAAUCCACCUUUCAAACGAAAACAAAACGUUUCUCUCCAAAAUACUACACUUCUUUCGGAAACACGACAUUUUCUCCCCCCCUCCCAGAAAAAAAAAACAAAAACCAAAAAACGGCAACCAAAACAACAAACCAAACACUUCUACCCACCAUUGGACUGGCAGGCAUGUGUUGGGCUUGUCUGCUGGUAGAAGGAACAAGGUUAGGCAUAGUUCUACAGAGAACAACUGCUUCGAUUCUUUCUAGAUUUGGUCGUAAGUAUCAGAGGAGCGGCAAGAAAGGGCCCUGCCACUGCCCGUCUGUUACUACGCAGCUGUACGUGACAGAGCCCGCUGUGGCUGGAAGUGUAAAGGAUGGCAGUUCAGAAUCCUCUCUUGCCAGCUUGCCGUGCUGCAGUCUUGAGCUUGUGAAGCGUGCUCCUGAGGUCUUCUUUUUCGUUUGAAAGGUGGUAUUUUGUGGGAGAUGAUGCUUAACUGCGGGGCGAAAAGUAGGAUCUGGGGGAGAAAAUCCACUUCUGGGUCGGAAAGAAUAGGACAUUUUCUCCCCAAGUACCCCUUGUCUCACCGAAACAAGACUCUUUCUCCACUAAAUACCACUGCUCUCCACAAAACAUGACUUCUCGCCUGCCAAAUACAAAGCUGUUUGCUUUCCAAAAAGACGACGUUUCCUUCGCGCGCUCCCUUUUUUCUCCACAACAUGCAAAUCUCUCUCCAAAACAGGACAGUUUCUGCCCCAAUGCUACUUUUCUCCCGAACAUAGGGCCUUCCUUCGCGCAUCAUGCCACAUUUCUCCUGAAAAUAUACAGCUCUUCCUUGCAAAAUACCACUUUUCUCCCAAAGACAUGACCAUU